CAGUCGCCACGGUAAUACGUAGGGUGCAAGCGUUAAUCGGAAUUACUGGGCGUAAAGCGUGCGCAGGCGGUUCGCUAAGACAGAUGUGAAAUCCCCGGGCUUAACCUGGGAACUGCGCUUGUGACUGCACAGCUAGAGUAUGGCAGAGGGGGGCGGAAUUCCACGUGUAGCAGUGAAAUGCGUAGAGAUGUGGAGGAACACCGAUGGCGAAGGCAGCCCCCUGGGCCAAUACUGACGCUGAGGCGCGAAAGCCGGGGGAGCGAACGGGAUUAGAUACCCCUGUAGUCCCUGUCUCUUAUAC
rnacentral:rRNA from 1 species